GAUGAACGCUGGCGGCGUGCCUAAUACAUGCAAGUCGAGCGAACGGACGAGAAGCUUGCUUCUCUGAUGUUAGCGGCGGACGGGUGAGUAACACGUGGAUAACCUACCUAUAAGACUGGGAUAACUUCGGGAAACCGGAGCUAAUACCGGAUAAUAUUUUGAACCGCAUGGUUCAAAAGUGAAAGACGGUCUUGCUGUCACUUAUAGAUGGAUCCGCGCUGCAUUAGCUAGUUGGUAAGGUAACGGCUUACCAAGGCAACGAUGCAUAGCCGACCUGAGAGGGUGAUCGGCCACACUGGAACUGAGACACGGUCCAGACUCCUACGGGAGGCAGCAGUAGGGAAUCUUCCGCAAUGGGCGAAAGCCUGACGGAGCAACGCCGCGUGAGUGAUGAAGGUCUUCGGAUCGUAAAACUCUGUUAUUAGGGAAGAACAUAUGUGUAAGUAACUGUGCACAUCUUGACGGUACCUAAUCAGAAAGCCACGGCUAACUACGUGCCAGCAGCCGCGGUAAUACGUAGGUGGCAAGCGUUAUCCGGAAUUAUUGGGCGUAAAGCGCGCGUAGGCGGUUUUUUAAGUCUGAUGUGAAAGCCCACGGCUCAACCGUGGAGGGUCAUUGGAAACUGGAAAACUUGAGUGCAGAAGAGGAAAGUGGAAUUCCAUGUGUAGCGGUGAAAUGCGCAGAGAUAUGGAGGAACACCAGUGGCGAAGGCGACUUUCUGGUCUGUAACUGACGCUGAUGUGCGAAAGCGUGGGGAUCAAACAGGAUUAGAUACCCUGGUAGUCCACGCCGUAAACGAUGAGUGCUAAGUGUUAGGGGGUUUCCGCCCCUUAGUGCUGCAGCUAACGCAUUAAGCACUCCGCCUGGGGAGUACGACCGCAAGGUUGAAACUCAAGGGAAUUGACGGGGACCCGCACAAGCGGUGGAGCAUGUGGUUUAAUUCGAAGCAACGCGAAGAACCUUACCAAAUCUUGACAUCCUUUGACAACUCUAGAGAUAGAGCUUUCCCCUUCGGGGGACAAAGUGACAGGUGGUGCAUGGUUGUCGUCAGCUCGUGUCGUGAGAUGUUGGGUUAAGUCCCGCAACGAGCGCAACCCUUAAGCUUAGUUGCCAUCAUUAAGUUGGGCACUCUAAGUUGACUGCCGGUGACAAACCGGAGGAAGGUGGGGAUGACGUCAAAUCAUCAUGCCCCUUAUGAUUUGGGCUACACACGUGCUACAAUGGACAAUACAAAGGGCAGCGAAACCGUGAGGUCAAGCAAAUCCCAUAAAGUUGUUCUCAGUUCGGAUUGUAGUCUGCAACUCGACUACAUGAAGCUGGAAUCGCUAGUAAUCGUAGAUCAGCAUGCUACGGUGAAUACGUUCCCGGGUCU
rnacentral:rRNA from 1 species